AAUCUAUAUCUCAUAUAUUUCCGGCGUUAAGAUGAAAGCGUUAAGAUGAAAAUUUGAGCGGGCGUAAUCCGAUUAUGAGAUAUAGUGUUUCAUUAUUACUCUCUGCAUUUUCUAACUCGUCUUGCCAAAUUCUAAAUCGGUAUCGGCCAUCUUUGCGCAUUCUUCCAGAAAGUUCUUUGUUCAAAUUGGUCGUUGCAGGCAAUUAUGAAAUCUCGUGAACAUUCAUGACAAUUAAUAAUUAUUUUUUUUAUUACGUUUGAGAUCUCUGGUAAAUAUAGAAAUUAGCAUAUGUAAUUUUGCGGUCGAGUAAAUUAGGCGUGAAAUUGCAGCUAUUGAAGUAUUGAAGCGGCCAUGUCUCCGGUAAUUAACUGGAUCGUCAUUAACACCGAUUUGGUUGCUUUGAUCGACGACCGUUUUCGAUGGCAGUGUAAACUCUGUAAGUAAGCUCCGAUAGUCGCAGCGGCCCCGUUAAUUCAAAGAGAACAUUGGACUUACUGAUAUUCCAACCGCAAACGAGAGACGAGAGAUGAGAGAUAACCAUGUGCCAUUGCAUAGAUCAGGCUUUUUGAUCUAAAUUAAUAAUGAGAUACAUUAAGUGGCAUCAGAAUUAUUCAGAUCCAUGUUGAAUAUAUAAAAUUGUGACUAGGAUUUUGAUGAAUCCAGAGAGAUCUUCAGUUUUUUGGCACAUGUUUACACUUUUGUCUGCAAAGAACCACUGAUGCAUAUAGAAAGUAGGGUUUGCAUGUACACACACAUACGUGGAGAAUGCAUCGUGGGAGAUUUUGUAUAGCCGGCGCCAGAUUGAUUCGGUUCACCUAAACCACCAUCCUCUGCCCCUUCCACUGAAAAUCAGGGAGACAGAGAAGGGUGCCAGUGGAUACCGCCCUGGAUUUUCCACCAGCAAGUCGUGGCGAGGAAGGGUGUUUACUCAAGACACGACAAUUCAUUACGUAAUUGAAUUGAAUGAGCCCUCUCCUUCGCUCUACGUCACCCCUCUCCCGGGCGUUUGGCUCGAACGUUAUACGCGUGCGAAUGCUCAGGCACGCGUGUGCGUGGUCUGGCGAUGUAUGCCAGCGAGGGGUGGACUGGGAUUCAGAGGCGGAUUAAGGGUUGGAAUGGAAGUCCGGAAGCCGACGAGUUGGGUCGCAUUCACCUGGCGCGAAGAAGGAUUUGCGGGACAAGACAUUCGUUCACGAGGAUAAGUUCUGUGUAUUUAAUAAGUACUAAGCGAUGAAGAUUUGAAGCAAUACUGCAUCGCAAGGACAAGAAUCAACAUUUCCCUCUGCAAGACAACAAACGCGACGUUCUUCACAAUAAAUCGCGCCCGAAAAAUCGAGAUCGGCAGGAACGAAAUUGAAUUUACGUCGAGCUGACGUAUAUCACCUUCACGGCCCUGAGAGUUCACUUACGUAUCGUCGAGGAAGGAGAGAUAAAGAGAAAAGGAAGGAGGAAAAACGAUACUGGUGAAAGGAGAAGUGGAUAUUGAAAUGUAGAAAUAUAUAAAAGCUGAGAGAAUGAGACAGCAUGACAGAAGAAAUGCAUUUGUCGCGAGAAACAUGCAGGGCUGGUUUCUACAUCGGUAAAUCUACAUUGUCUCGCGCAGAAGAUCGACUAUCCGAUGACCGAUAACGAGGCCGGACAAAAAGGAAAAGCUUCGACCGCGGAGAGCAUCGGAUUAAUUACCGCGCACCCGCGGCGGCCUCUUUCUGCCUCCAGGUAAACAUAGCGGCCCUGGCGGCUGCACGCGAGAGUGGUAGGAUGGUCGUCGGACGGCAUCCUGGCCAGCGGCGAGGGGUGGUUUCCCCGCGAGCGUUCCUGCGGCGGGCGGAAAAGCGGGCGCAAAUGCUAAUGAGCGUCGGUUUAGGGGUGGAGUGUACCUGCCUCCCGGAAGGGAACGAGGGGUUGCGAGUCUGGGUCGUGACUUGGGUGGAACGAAAAGGAGGGAGAAGCUGGCGAGCUGCGCCACCGGGGCGUUUCUAUCACGCCCAUUCGCGUGCGGAUUGGCCGGCGGUCGAAUGGCGCCCUGGGCGACGCGUGGCGUCGCGACGCCGACGUCGUGAUGUGCCUCCCGUCGACGUGUCCCCCGGCCGACGGUUCUCCUCGCGACGGCGGCGGCCGAGAGCCGUCGGUGUCGAGGCGCGACGUCGCGCGCGAGAGUCGCCCCGAUAAUCGCGAGGAUGGAGCAGCUCGCACAGUUCGUCUCCAAGAGCUUUGACAACGCGGCAGCAGCGAGCGUCGAGGCCGGUUGCAGAGCGGCUGCCGGGGGCAGGAUUACGCUCAGUGUCGCGCAUCUUAUCGGCGAUCACGCUGUGGACGACGGUGAUCGACAUGAAGGCGCGCACGAGGCUGCGAUCGGCAUAGAGACGAGCGGAAGCAUCGAAGAGCCGCCGUCGCCAGAAGGCCGGCUGCAACCGGAGGAUCUUUCGGUCACGGCCAAGAUCAAGGACAUUCGGGACACCGCGGAGAGUUUGCCGCCUCUGAAAACGCCUGAGCUGAAGCUGUCAGUUCGCAAAUUGCUCGGAUGUACCCCCUCACCGCCGCCCAUUUCGAGAGAUCGAUCAGCCAGUCCGGAGAACUGCGUCGAAUUGAAAAGUCAAAGCUCGAGUGACGGUAAAACAACUAUAUCCAGCAGUGACCAGGCCAAAGUGUCCUCGCAGGUUUCAAGGUCGAGUGGCCAUAGCCAAGAAGAGUCUACCAAGGGAUCCAGUUGUCGGAGUAACGGAAACGGCAACGGCAAGCAAAGGAGAUCGCGGACAAAUUUCACUAUUGAGCAGUUGGCCGAGCUGGAGAGACUCUUUGACGAGACACAUUAUCCCGACGCAUUUAUGAGGGAGGAGUUGAGCCAGCGACUUGGUCUCAGUGAGGCGCGGGUGCAGGUCUGGUUCCAAAACCGACGCGCCAAGUGUCGUAAGCAUGAGAGCCAGCUGCACAAAGGUGUCGCCGGAAGCAUGGUGCUGGCGCCGCGUAGUCCACCGACGACGUUAGAACCCUGUCGAGUGGCACCUUACCUGCCGGCGCUCAGGUUGCACCCGCCGCCGAUUCAGGGAACAGGCGCCAGUGUCACGGUGGGCUCGGCCUUUGACCCGGCGGUGCUGCACUAUGCGGCGGCCGGCGGUCUGUUUUGUCUACCGCCACCACCGCCUCCGGCGCCGUCGGCCGGUCAUCCUCCCCAUCCGCUGAGUCUGGCAGCGUCGCUAGCCGCUGCGGCGGCCCGCUCGAAAACAGCAGCAUCGCCGACCUCAGGCUGAAAGCGAGGCGGCACCAGGAGGCCUUGGGGCUCGAUAGGCCCGCGUAAGACCUACAGUGCGUCUUGGACGACAAAAAUUCGACGAGGAUGAAGGAGGACGAUCGGGAUCAGAAAGGACUUUGCUAUUUGCGAUUCAGAGCUGUGUGAAGAAAGGAUUGAAAGUGGAUUGAAACAGUAAUCGCGGCAGGAAGAUAAUAAUAAAAGUCGGAAGGCCAGGGCCAAGGACCGUAUUCGCCCAUUUCACUCCCGUGACGGUUUCAGGAAUAAAAUAGAACCCUCUCGUAUCCCAGGGAUAAUUCGGAGGGUGCCGAGGGAAGGACCUUUCUCUCUUUCUCCUCCCUCCCCCUCCUCUCUUUCUCUCUCUCUCUCUCUGCCUUUCUCCCUUUAUCCCACUCAUUUUAAUCCGAGUUUUAAGAAGUUUUUCCUAUUGCUCGUAAAUUGGCCGUCGUUUGUGGCCGGGAUCACGUGGGGUCGGCAAGGGGUGGAAACCACCCCCGGGAUAUUCUCCCCACUACAACGCGGAUUCUGUUGUUCGCACAUUGCGCAUUCGUGGCUCGCAAGUGGGGGAGGAAGAGGUGGAAACUCGUAACUGCGAUAUAAUGUCCCGCGAAAACCAGCUACCAUCAUCAAUUAUCUCCGCCCCCUCGUCCCCGCAGACGGGAUGAAACGGGGAAUAAUCGGGAAUGCGCGAGGGAGGGUGACUCGUUGAGAUUUCUCGGAGAUGUUACGGAAUCCGAGAUGUCGCGAUAAAAUAUGAUAUACACUUGAUGUUAUUAUCAAAGUUAUUGAAAUAUAACAAAUAUGUGAUUAAUUAUCUUAAACUUGCUCCGCCGAUGCUGGUCGGCCUCUUCUCCUGCUCUCAGUCUGUAUGAUACAUAAAUAUAUCCAUAUUAUUGUAUAUAUUAAUAUAUGGAAUGAUAUUGUGUGAUAUCAAAAAACUACUUACUUUUAAAAAUAAUUUUAAAAAUCGGAUUUUUUGACAAAACACUAACAAUUACCGAGAAAUUUAUAAGUAAAAGUUAAAUUAUCCACUUUGAAAGUCACAAGUUACUCAUUUUAUACUUCAACGACAUUUUAUCAAGUUGACAAGAAUUCAUUUUCCAUAUCAUAUACUGGUUUACCAAGAAAUAUAGAUUACAAAUUUAUGGAGUAAUCACACGGUGAUGCUUAAUUUAUAAAAAGAUAGACCGAUGAAUUUAUUGAAAAGAAUCAAAAAUACAAUGACGAAAAUGGAGCACACAAUAGAAUUCAAUAGUAAGACUAGAAAAUGAUAAUUUUUAAUUUAAAUCUGUAAACUAUUGCGACUAACUUGUAUGAACAAAUAGUAUGUAUUUAAUGUAAUUUAACACACUGAAGAUGACCACAUGUCGAAUGGUCGAAACGUAUGUGUGGAUACAAUAUUAUUAAUAAAUGGAAAAGAAGCAAUUGCCACCCAGCUCGGUUCGUAUUAGCUUUUAUUUUAUAGUAUUAUCGAGAAAUUUAUGACAAACCUAAACCUAAACGCACUCCACCUUAUUAAUAGUUUUGAUGUGCGAUGUAUUAAUAGUUAUACGACGCAAUCGAUUAACAUUUAUUAUUUGUCCACAAUAUUUGCACUUAAAGUCACCGAAUGGUGUACAAUGAUCCCAUGCACUUUGCUAUAUAAUUUUAUCAGUUUUUUUGUGCAUUUCUAAAUAUCUGAUGAAUUUUCCAAUAUUAUUAUACGUGUAUUCUCUUAAACAAUAUUUACACUUAGCAUUUUUUAUCAUUCAGGGUUUUUUCGGGUUUAGGUAUCAUUAUUACUUCCGCCAUUUUCCAUUGCUUUACGGAUUUUUUUAUGAAUCUAUUCACGUCUGUUUCUUAUUUCCGACUAUGAAAACAAUUUUGUGCAAUACUUGCGCUGAAACUGGUUUCGCAUAUUACAUUCGUAUUUUAAAUAUCGCGUUAGAUUGUCCUUGCGCGAGUAUAUUUUUUUUCGCAUAUCGUGUAUAUGUGUUUGUUACCUGUAAAAAAAUUUAAAUUAAAAAUUAUAAAUUUCGACGAAAAAUUGAAUUGUAGUAGUUGGACAAGCGCUUUCUCAGGUAAUUGUUUAAGCGCGCGCAGCUGUCCCGUGAUAAAGUCGUAUCUGAGGGCUUUUCUGGCACUUAAAUUGUUAUUUAUCUCCUUCCUAAGCUCUUUGAGUAAGCCGUCUUUCUGUCUUCAUUAGCCGUUUAGGGAAGGAUUGAAAAGUUUCCGUCAAAUGAUCCGCAAACAAUUCCACUUUUUCUUUAUCGUUCCGAGCCCAGGUUCCAUUGUCUUUUCGAAUGGGCGGGAAAUAUAUUUUAGGUCUUCUGAGUUCUUGCUUAAGCGAAUAGUCUGUAUUUUUGUCAGCGGAUAAUCUUUGUAGAUACAUACCGUCCGAUUCUUUACUUCUUUGAUUAGUUCUUUGAGCUUGUUGCUCAGUCGGGGUUCAAUUUCUUUUUAUCCUGUGACGAGCGACUUCGCUGCUAUUUUUUACGAAUUUUGCACUUUUCAUUCUUUGAGGUCUUCGGCCUUCUAUUUUUCCACACUGAAAAAAGGAUUUAGUAAUAGAUACUAGGAUUUAAUAACAAUUACUAAAUGAUUUGGGUAAAUAGUGCUAAGUAAAUGCUUGGUAACAAUUACAAAAAGAAUUAAUUGAGUGAUUGAUACGACUUGGUUAAU
rnacentral:misc_RNA from 1 species